GCCGUACUGGAAGGUGCGGCUGGAUCACCUCCUUUUCAAAAGCCGCAAUCAAUAGGAUUUUCCUAACCCUCCC
rnacentral:tRNA from 1 species